GUAGAUCUGAUUAUAGUGUACGAAGAACAAUUGAAGGCUGAGCUGCGGUUUUCUCUGGAGCAUUUUACAAAGAUGUCCUAAGAUACCACAGAGUUUGCGUCGCUCAAGUGCAUUCGAACUUCUGGCGAACUCUGAUGGCCUUUAGAGAAUUAUGCCGAGCUAAAGGACUCGAGCCCACAGUGAAGGUCUUCGCUGAAUUGCACAGACUUUCUUGGCGAAAAGACGAUGAAUUUUGGUUCUUC
rnacentral:misc_RNA from 1 species